rnacentral:rRNA from 1 species
GGUUAAGUUAGAAAGGGCGCACGGUGGAUGCCUUGACACUAGGAGUCGAUGAAGGACGGGACUAACGCCGAUAUGCUUCGGGGAGCUGUAAGUAAGCUUUGAUCCGAAGAUUUCCGAAUGGGGAAACCCACUAUACGUAAUGGUAUGGUAUCCUUACCUGAAUACAUAGGGUAUGGAAGACAGACCCAGGGAACUGAAACAUCUAAGUACCUGGAGGAAGAGAAAGCAAAUGCGAUUUCCUGAGUAGCGGCGAGCGAAACGGAAUCUAGCCCAAACCAAGAGGCUUGCCUCUUGGGGUUGUAGGACAUUCUAUACGGAGUUACAAAGGAACGAGGUAGACGAAGCGACCUGGAAAGGUCCGUCACAGAGGGUAAUAACCCCGUAGUCGAAACUUCGUUCUCUCUUGAAUGUAUCCUGAGUACGGCGGAACACGUGAAAUUCCGUCGGAAUCUGGGAGGACCAUCUCCCAAGGCUAAAUACUCCCUAGUGAUCGAUAGUGAACCAGUACCG